UACGAAGGGGGCGAGCGUUGUUCGGAUUUACUGGGCGUAAAGGGCGCGUAGGCGGCCUUGUCAGUCAGGCGUGAAAGCCCCGGGCUCAACCUGGGAACGGCGCUUGGGACGGCGAGGCUGGAGUUCGGGAGAGGAGAGUGGAAUUCCCAGUGUAGAGGUGAAAUUCGUAGAUAUUGGGAAGAACACCGGUGGCGAAGGCGGAUCUCUGGACCGACACUGACGCUGAGGCGCGAAAGCGUGGGGAGCAAACAGG
rnacentral:rRNA from 1 species